GCCUUCUUAGUUAAACGGAUAUAACAACUCCCUCCUAAGGAGUAGUUCUAGGUUCGAUUCCUGGAGAGGGCACCA
rnacentral:tRNA from 7 species